GGGGGAAUUUUGCACAAUGGGCGGAAGCCUGAUGCAGCGACGCCGUGUGGGGGAUGAAGGCCUUCGGGUUGUAAACUCCUUUCGUCAGGGACGAAGUUUGUUUGACGGUACCUGGAUAAGAAGCACCGGCUAACUACGUGCCAGCAGCCGCGGUAAUACGUAGGGUGCGAGCGUUGUCCGGAUUUACUGGGCGUAAAGGGCUCGUAGGUGGUGUGUUGCGUCGUCUGUGUAAUCCAGGGGCUUAACUUUUGGUUUGCAGGCGAUACGGGCAUUGAUUGAGUGCUGUAGGGGAGACUGGAAUUCCUGGUGUAGCGGUGAAAUGCGCAGAUAUCAGGAGGAACACCGAUGGCGAAGGCAGGUCUCUGGGCAGUUACUGACGCUGAGGAGCGAGAGAAUGGGUAGCGAACAGG
rnacentral:rRNA from 1 species